GUGUUGCUUCAUUGCCCGAUCACUUGAGCCCUGUUAUCAAAGCUUGAAAAUACCCUGCAGGAUAAAAAAAAGUGACUCUUCGAUUAAGAUACAGGUUGAUUGGUGGGGCUAUAUUUUGUUGACAGGUAGGAAUCAGCCCAUAACAAAAGAUCACCUUUUUCUUCGUUAUUGGUCGCGUGAUAAAUUAUUUCCAUUUUCCUUGAAGGAUAAAUAUGGUGACUGUGAGCUUGAGGUGUCUUUCUUACAUCCAUGUAAACCCAAUGCUAAGGUGAAGACGUGUGGUGUCAGAAUAAUGUAUGAGAAAGAUUUGGAAGAAAUAAAAGAGUUGCAGUGCCAUACCACUCAAUCUUCUCCAAAUUUUGAACACAUCCUCC
rnacentral:lncRNA from 1 species